CAACAACAACAAAAAAAAAACCACAGAAAAGUUUGUUCAUUGGCCCAUUUUCUUUCUCCCAGAUUUCAGCUUUGGAAUUAAUACAUUAAGGUAAUCCUUGUAGUUUUGGGGUUUAUUUUAGCACAGUCUGUUCCAAAGACAAAUUACUGUAAGGGAAAAAAAAAAAUAAGCCAAAGCUGAUCUGACCUACACAAGACGGGAAGCGAGACUGCUCGAUUCUGCCACUGCUGAGAUGAAUGUCAAAUCUCCCCGUUACUUCCAGCUUUAUUCUGAGUGUUGCUGCUUAGUUUAACUCAAAAUCCUUAUCGCAGCGGGAUCAUAAGGGUGGCAGAUCAAUCCAUACCAACGGAACAUACCCACUGCAAAUUAACACGCAGUGUACGUGUGUAUAGAUAGGGACACGGCACACGAGCUGCCAAUUAUGUCGUGCUUUAGAGGAAACUGCAGAGAAAAAGUCACGAAGAGAAGGCUGCCUGGUGAGGUGUCUCGAGAUGUAAAUGGCUCCUGCUGAAAAGGUGCUUGAAACAAGACUUCAUUGCUGAGCUACAGGGAUUAAGGGAAGGGAUUUUAUUUGCCUGCUGCAGUUAGAUGCAGCGUCCUCAAGGACCCCAGAAUUUGCAUGGAAACAUGGAGGAGAGGAGAGAGGAAAUAACCUUUACAGAAAGAAAAUCAGUCAAAUCAUCUUUAUCAUUCAAACAAAAGAUGACAGGAAAUGAACAGGUGACUUCAAGGAUGAAAAAAAUACUCUUCUGCCAAUUCAAGAAAAGAUAAUGGAUGAGGUGUUACAGAACCUGUAGGUGAAUUUGAGUUUUCAUUAUAACCAUCUUUACCAAAGAUCUUUAUCAUGCAACAAACUACAUUUUGAGAACAAUGCCUGGAAUAAAGAGGGGAAGAAAAUGUUUAAUACUGUUACUUCCUCUAAGUAAGAUCACAGAAUCAUCGAAUCAUAAAAGGUUGGAAAAGACCUCUAAGAUCAUCAAGUCAGCCAUCAGCCAUCACCACCAUGCUCGCUUUGGAGGAUGCCAAAGCAGACACAGAACUGAACAGCAGUCUCAGAUUGUGAUACAUCAUGCUUUUAGAAUUGUUAUUCUCUCCUGAUUCACCUUGUUGCAACUGUAACGAUGCCUGUAGUCCCAGAAGUGGGAGCAAGAAGAGAUCAUUACAACUGGGGCAUUUAUUUCCUCUCUGCCUAUCAAAGAGAUGAGCCUCUGGACAGCAAAUUUAGUGGUAUUUUACUGGAUACAGAUGCAGAGCACUGCACAUCUCUUCUUCCUGCAAUAUAACAGCAGUGGAGAGUUCAGCUGAGAGAACAAACUUUGAGAAGAUAUCUCACUCCUGUAGGACAGUGAAAUAGUUGUCCAAAUCACAAUGUGGGACUCAGAGCCAUGGCCUAGAACAAGAGAAGGGUAUAUACCUUGUCUUUCUUAUUCUUACAAGGAAAGAUCAAGAUACAUCCAUAUGUGACUUUUGACAAUUCAAGAAAGAAAACUUCAAAUGCUCAGGUGUUUGAUCUUUAUUUUUUUAUAACCUAUCAAAACCACAGGAUCUGUAAGCAUUCCUUCAGCCCUAAAUGGUUUCUUUCUCUUUUCCAUUUUUCAUAUAGAAUCAUAGAAUCAUAGAAUGGCCUGGGUUGAAAAGGACCACAGUGAUCAUUGAGUUUCAACCCCCCUGCUAUGUGCAGGGUUGCCAGCCACUAGACCAGGCUGCCCAGAGAAUUUUUUUAUUCCAGUAAAGGAGGAGGCCUUUCUUUUGUUGAGAAACCAAAUGUAAAAGAGUAGAAGAUUUUUACAAGAAGCAAACUUGUAAAAAUGGCAUCCUGGGGUUCCCCAUUUGUUACAUUGCAAUUGUUUCUAGAUCAAACCUGUUCAGUUCAGCACUGAAAGGAUGGGUUUGCUGCUGUCCAUCACUGAGAGCUCUACUAAAGUAAAGCCUGAUACUUUCUGGGUCAUACUCUCUAAAAAUAAGUCACAAUGGGAAUGCUAAAAAAAACUAACUUACAACAUGUGAAUCAGAACUCCAGUUGCCUUCUACUUCUGCAGGGCUAAGAAAAACCCCUCAAGUACAGCAAUAGGUUAUUUAAAGACCGAAGUAAAUAGAUCUGACUGCAAGCAGACACAGGAAACAGAUCAAUGUCUCAUGAUGAUGAAAUCUAUGUAGUAAGUUUUGACAAGAGCCACAUGCUGGGGCUCAUCCAACAGGGAUCUUUCCACCAGGUAUUUGUUGAAACCUAUAAAGAUGCAGAUUAGCUUCAGUUGAUGCAGGGAAGUGAUUUUUUUUUCAUACAUCCUAUAAACUUUUAUAUUUUUGGCGGGGAGACUGAAAGUGCAUGAAUGCAUAGUAUUUUUUGCAGGCAGACAUAGCUUUAUUCCAAUCCUACCUCAGACUCUCAACCUUUUAUCUCUUAGACUUACUGCCAUGCCAGCUGUGGUUACAUGACUUCCAGUUUGCUUGGAUCAGGGCAGAGACAGGCUAUGUGUGCUUGUCAAACACAAAUACGUGCUAGAACCUGCAGCUAGAGUCCAGGAAAAGGUCUUUGACAUAACAAACAUACCUGUGUAGUCCAAGACCUCCACAGCUCCAAGAUGUACUACUGCCAUGACCUCAGAUUGUUGCUAUGAUGCUUUUUAUAGGGAUUUGAUGACAUCAGCUAGCACUAAUGUGAUAUUUUCCUAAGAGCUGUAGUAGAGGUAGAUGUGUAAAGUCAAAGCUUCUCUCUCAUAGCACUGGACCCACCUGGUGAGUACAAGGCUCCCUCAGGGCAAUGCCAUUUGUACUUUGAUCUGUGUUCAUGAGCACCAGGGCACACAGGAGCCCAGGGAGAAGGGCUGCCCUGGUUUCUUUCUAUUCUUCUUUGGUGUCAGCAUGCUCACCAUGUUGCUGCUCCUCACAAAAACUCAUCAGCUGGAAACAUGUCUAGAAAUGAAGCAGAGCUCUGAAAGCAACACUACUGCAUGCAGGACUGAGCAGCAGCUCCCAGUUUCUGCAAGUUUUUGGUUCUACUCUGUCAACCACCUUAGAACCAAAUUUGUAAAGAAAUGUAGAGGAAAUGAGAAAUUAAAAGGCCAAAUCUGGAAAAAAAAAAAGUCUUCCACUUCUGUUACUCAAACACUUGGAGAGAAGCCAAAAGGCAGAUACAGUAAUAAUACAACUUUUGGAAAAUGUGGAAUAAUAAUAGAAGCUAGAUUUAUUUAGAUCUCCAAUGGUGGAGACUACCUAGACCAUAGAGCAGAAGGGAUUAAAAAAAAACAACCACAUACUCUGAUAUUUGAGAUUUUUGUUUUUAACGUAUCAGACAAAACCAUUGUGAGAUUGAGAAUGGAAGCUGAAGCCUACACAAAGUCAGACUGGAAGAAAGGUGACAACUUUACCUUGAUAACAGCCCAUCACUGCAGGAAUAUCUCAUGUAUGGUUUCCCCAACAGUUAAUCUUUAAAUUUUUUAAAAUUUGAUUUCUUUAUAAAAGAUAGGCUUUUAUUUACUAUUUUAGUCUGGCCUGUACUAUGCAGGAAGCCAGAUUAAAUCAUCAUAAUAUUCCCUUCUAGCCUUAAUCUACAUAUGAUUAAAACAUAUUAUGUAGUUACCUGUCCAUAUAGAGAUGACCAUCUCCUCCCCACUCAAGUUGAUAUUUUCAAGCCACCAAAUGAAACUAGCCAAGACAAAGUGUGCUUGAUGAAACGGUGCUGCUGUGUGACAGUCAUGUGUCUGUGGGGAUGUCAGUGAGUAAAUCUUGAGGCUGAAAUCCUAAAGCACAAAAGAUACACAGCCAGCGUGGUGUCCCACAGGUGGGUGCAGGUGUGCCACACUCUGGAGGGGACAACCAACCCUUCAGGCCCUUCCUGUAUUCCACCAGUCCUCUGUGAAUAUUGGAGAUGAAAUUUUUGUACACUUUCACAGUAGCAAUCACUGUGAACCUGAGCUCAUUUUCACAAACAAAGCAUGCCCAAUCAACAGUCUCAUUUUUUUUUUCCUGCUUUAUGGAUGUUGAAGCAACAAUUUUGUGCAAAAGGUACAGGUGGGUUUUACGCUCCUGCUGGGCCCCAUGGUAGAGACUCACACAACAAAGGCUUGCAGGUGUUUCCUAUAUCUUUGUGGUUAUUUCUUUCAAACAGCAUCUGUUGAAAUGCAUCUUGCCUCCUGCUUAAAAAAGCCCAAUGCUUGGCAAUGCAGGGUGCUUGCCUUAGCUUUAACUGCCCACCCACACUGAACAUUUUAUGUUAUUUAGAUCGACCAGGGGCACAAUGAGAGCCUUUGACCAGCAAGACUUCCCUUCAGAGUGGGAGGCUCUGGAGGGGGAAAGGUGACCCAGAGAUGUGGUAACAUUUUUCACCUCCACUUCUCUUUCCAGUCGGGCAGCCCCGUCAUAGUUGGCACUGACCGCACUACCACCUGCUGCGUUCCAGCAGAAAUCCACACAAAACCUGGCUUGUCUUUGGGUAAUUGCACUUGUAAAGUAGAAGCAGCUCAUUUAAGCACUACACACGGCAUCUUAUUAAGCACCUCGUGAUACAUAAAAUUAAGACAACUGAAAGAAAAUUUCCGAAAAAGCCUUCUAUACGGUUUGUGACCACAGCUUGAUUUGUAUCUGGUGAAGUUUUCCUGGGUGAUGAGUCCAUAAUUCCCAUCACCUUUUGGAAAAAGUCUGAUUUAACUUUAUUUUGCUUCAAUAAUAACUACUAAUGUUGUGUUAACCAAUCAAAAGAGAACAAGUGGUCAAAGCAAGACCUAGAGAAACAGACCCAGAACACAUCUAACCUGAAGUAGAUGUAGGUUGAACAUGAUUUGGUUCUGAAUUCUCAGCAUGAGCUAUAAGUAAUUAUAACUAAAUCCCCUGGGCAAACUGAUCUACGUGUGGUGGCCCCAUUCAAUGCAGGGGAGUUGGACUAAAUGGCCCUUGGAGGUCCCUUCCAACUCUAAGGAGUCUAUGAUUCCAUGAUUAUGAUUCUAAUUCAGGCAUGCAAAGUGGUCUGGGAGGGAACUGGAUGUCAGGUGGUAGCACUGGGCAGUACAAUCUACCUCGAUCUGUGAAUUUCAUUGUAGGAAGAGCAUUAUGUUGUUUUGGUGUUUGUUUGUUUUCCUUAUUUUUUUUUUUAAUUUCUUUAUAGUUUCUUUUUCUUUAAGAUAUGAUUUAGAAACCACUGGGAGUUACUUGGAUGCUGCCUUCCAAAUUCAGUGCUUUUAUUUUUUAAUAUUGUAGUGGAAAUGCUAAGUCACAGCUUGAAGCAGUGAUUGAGCACCUGGUGGAAGGCAGGGCCAACUCAGGUGAGCUCAGGUGCAUGCAAUGCAGCUGAGUGAUCAGAAGGACUGGAGCCAGGAUCCACCCCUUCCCAGCCCUCAUUUAAGGGUUGGCAGUGGAGGCAAGGAUAUCUUCCUAGAGUUUUCUACCUACCUGAGUCUUUCCAAAGGUCAACUGCAUUUAAACAACUGCUAGAUAAACUGCCCAUAACUUGAAAUGCUGGAUGAAAAACAUAUGUUGUACUUCCUCUACAAAGUUGUUCUAUAUCAUUUUUAACCAAGUUUUGGAUUGAAGAGGUGAAUUAUUGCACUGCAUACAACUACGGGCCACACACUCAGUGCUGCCACCCAUAAACACCUUACCUCAUAUUGAAGGACUGGUGACACAAGGCUGUACCCAACAUCAUGCAGGGCUGUGUGAUGACUGAUUCCAGUGAAUGAAAGGUAAUGUUCAUAACCACAGGCUCUUGACCUGGUGGUGACCCACUCACUCUCCUUUUAAGAGGCUUCUAUGAGGGGAAGAAAACCCACACCGGAGCACUUGUUUGGGUAGUUUUCUGAGAGGCACGGGGAAUCUCAUUAGCCUUGAAAGAGAUUUUCCUGAAUCUAAGUAAGGUUCCUACAUUUUUUUGGAUUCAUUGUGCCUUUGUAGUUAAAUUAACCAGAAUAGCUUUCAGAUGCCUGUGCAGCCAUUUAGGAACAAUAGUGGCCAUUCUGUCCCGAGAUGCACUAAAAGCAUGGAACAGCUCUUUCUGUAGUAUGAAAGCAAACAUAGUGCUCGAGUGGUCUGGAUGAACACUGAAACACUUGGAACAAUAUAACCUAGGGGUUACCUCAGCCAUCUUAAACACCGCAAAAUCUCUCCUGGAUGGCUGUAAUUGGAAAAACAGCACAAGACAAAGGAACUAAAGAACUAGCAGUGGGGGAAGUUAACUCAGGUAAAAAAUAAAUCUAACAAGAGAAGAUGGAACUGAAUUGACUGUAAAGCCAGACAGUUAAAACUUCACAGAGCUCACUGAUGGAACAACAAACAUAAGACAAGGAAAAAUAGUAUGGGAAAUAUACAAGUUAACACUCUUGGAAUAUGAAGUGAAAGCAGGUAUCCAAAGGUGGUAGAGUCACUGAAAGGGCACUUUUACACACGUUCCCCCUCAGAGGAAAUCCUACUGUUAUUUCUGAGUGAGUCAGCCAGGGCUUAUUCCACAGAAUGAGCACAUAUGUUGCAGAAAGCCUUCCCAGUGAAAUGCAAUGAAGAUGGAGCAAUUGGGGUGAUGGGCACCAGCUGAGGUCUGGGCAGUGCCUUGGUUCUGCCAUGGGAGGUUCUGCCACCCAGCUGCACCCAGUAGCUGCAAGGGCAAUGUGUUUGUCUCUGGGAUUUAUGCUUUGAUUGAUGUGUGCUUAGGUCUGUAUUUAGAAGAGUAGGAGACAGAAGAGGAAUUAAGCAAAAAAUGUAAGGAUUUGGGGGCUUUCAGUACAGGUUUAAAGAUGAGAGAAAAGAAAACACAGAAAGACAAUAAAAUUCCUCAACAUGUUAGAACAUAUCAAAAGGUCUAUAUAGAAAGAAUACACAGCCAUUGCGUGGUUCAAGUCAGCCAAUUUGUUCAGAUGUUGAUAAGAGCUAUGCUGCUUUCAGUAAUAUAAGAAGCACAAUGCCUUACUGCCAUUGAAAUUGGUCCCCCUCAAAGUUCAUGCUUAGGUCUGAGAAACUGGCUAUGUUUUUUUAACAAGCAGUGUAGAGGGGACAGUGAAUGUAAUGGUGGCAACCACCUUGUGUCUUCCCUUCCAGGGAGCAGGUGUCAAGGAUGCUGAAGGAGGAGAAGGGAUGUGACAGCUGUCUGCAGCUCAGGAUGCAUUAAGUGAUGACUGGGUGGUCUGCGGUACGAUCUGGGACAGAGGAACCACGCAGAGAGCACAGAACACACAGGGCAGAAAGAUUGAAACAUGCUAAACCCUUGAAUACCCCCCAUGACAAAAACACAAGUGAAAUAUUGUCACAACAUUUUAUGUAUUAGUUUGGACAGGAAGAAGAUGAUUUGUAAAGGGAUAUGUUUUCACAGGUAGCAUUACACACACACCCCACUUUCCCAAAUUGUUUUUAAUUGGCUUGCAAUCAGUUUUGUCUAGUCUCCCACCUGUCAGCCAUGAAGACCAACUUACUCCAUCAAAGUCCUGUAACUUUGUGAAGAACACAUUUCUGAGCAAGUCCUCUCCAUAAUGUUACAUUUAUGUUGUGUGGCACCUCGAGCAAUGCUUUGUGCUUUCCCUGUUUCAGAGCUUUGUGAACAGAAUGUCUGGACCUGCAGAUGUUCACCCUCCCACGAGUGCUGGCCUCUACUGCAAAUUCUUGUUGCUGUCUUGUCCUUGGGAAGAGCCUUAGAUAUACAGGCUUAUCAUAGUGAUUUAAACACAGCUACCUGCGGAUGUGAUGGAUUUCCUUUAUUUGCAGUCUCCCAGUCAAGACUAGAUGGAUAUCUAAGAGGCAUGUUGUAGCUCAAACAGAGAGAGGUGCUUGGUGCAGAAAUUAUAGGGUCAGAUUCAAAGGCUGGUGUUGUGUGGGAGGUCAGGCAAGGUGAGUGUGUACUUCCAACCACUGCAUCUACACUGUAAAUUUCAAAGCUGUCUGUAAAACUAGGAAAUGCAGAAGGAAUUUAAUGCAAAGCGUUUACCUUUCCUUUUGUCUGAGAUGUAACCCAACGUUUUGCCUUUCCACCACAUCAUUGUGAAAGGAAAUUAAUUUCCCUGCUCACUGAUUAUACUGGAACUAUUUAAAGCAAAUUCUCAGCUACCACAUACUUGAUCAUAGAAACUUUCUUAACCCCAAAGCUCUCUCGUUUCAACGCUUUCCUCCAACAAGAACUCCACCAGAAACAAAAAUAACUUCUCUUUCUAACCUUUCAACCCAGGACUCCCUACUCAGCUUUAAAUGCAAUCCCAAGGAAGAGAAUUUAUCUAUACUUUUUCUUCCUUUAGGCAGUUACUCACCUGUUUUCAUCUGGCCUUUCUUCAGCCUUGAGCCUGGAAGGAGCAGGUUCACACAGUGCUCAGAGUAUCAACAAAUGAAGGGGGGACUGCCUGCAGAGAAGUGUAGGCCUGAGUUUGUUAAAUCCUCAGAGAAAGGAUGGAGCAGAUAGAUAUAUGCAUAAGGCAGGCAGAAUUGAUAUUAUUUAUUCCUCUUUGGCAGAGUCUGGACAGAAGAGACAGUAGAAAGUACGUCCAUUUCAUCAGACUGGAUGUGUUCAAAGGUGAUAACAGAAGCUGAAUGAACUUGGCUGCCACUGUCCCCGCCUACAGCCAAAGACUGAAUUUGGUGAUGGCCCUCCUUGAGUAGAGCCAAGUGGUGCUCCAUAGCCAAGACUGUCAGCCCAAAAGAGUUGCUGAUCAGCCUGGUCUCAUGUUCCAAGAAUGAAACCCUGGCAUGGAAGUGGCAUAUCUGCCAGUUAAUGUCAACAUUUGAUGUGCAGUCAGAGAGCAAACAAGGUUUCAUAUUGUGGUAAAAAGGGAAAUACUGUUUGCUUUAAUUCUAGUUUCUUUGUGUCAGAUGUAUUAAGAGUCUCAUAAAAUAGUGAAAGAAUUUCAUUCUUACUUACAAUUAUAAGAAGCAUAUAUAUAUAUAUAUACACACACAUAUACAUACACACACAAUAUACCUACUUCUACAAGUACAAACAAAAUGUAAAAUCUAGCUAGUAAUGAAUAGCUUGAAACAUCCUUUUCAGAAAACAUUAUAAUACAAGACUCCAGUGACUUUAUCUAACGCUCAGUUACUAAGACGGGGAAGAGAACACUUAACUGUGAAUGAGCUUCCCUAUAGCAAAAGGAAAGUGCUCCCAGACUGAAAAAUAGGCAGGGACAGACUAAGAUAUCAUGUAGAGUGGGUACAGCUUGCUGUCCAGCUCUCACCAGCCAUGUGUAUAUGACAGUUAAUCCAUGUGCUUUAUUGUCCUCCAGUCUUCUGGAUGAGAGAUCACAGGAGAUCACAUUUCAAACAGUGAUGUCCCAAGUGUGGGAAGAACAGAGCAAUGGGACUCUCACUGCUGUAGGAGGCAGUGCUCAGCACCACAGGAGAUAGUCCUGAGCUCCCAAGGACAAUAAUUAAUGACAACCAGCACUGGCACAGCACUUCUGUUGAGUCUCAGAGCAGAAACACCUGCAGCAUAUCCCACCCUGGCAGGGAAAUGGAGCUGGUGACCUAACAAUCUUUCCCACCUCUAACUUCUGGGGCUUUAUGAAUCGUCAGUCACACCUAGGUGUGAUAUCGCUAUAAAAUCCCAGUCACGUAAGAGAGCUGGCAGGAAGCUCUGGCUGUGCAACUCUGUGGUUUUAUGCUUAGCUGUGUUCUAAAUACUGAAAGAAUGAAGUAGACUUUCAAGCAUCAGCGUUGACAGUUGCUUUCAGAGAUAUUCAAACAAACAAAAUCCAGUCACCUAGACAGCAAAACCAGCUGCAGCUUGGGCUACAGCACAAACGUGACUUUUUGUUUUAAAAAGAAAGCCAUCACUAUCUAAAUGCCACCUGUGGUGUGGUGUGACUAAUACUGCUCUUCUUCAAGAGGUUGGCAAGGGCCUCUUUAUAGACUCAUAAAACCAUAGAAGCAUUUGGGUUGGAAAAGACCUUCAAGAUCAUUGAAGUCCAACCAUCAAACUCACCUACCAAGUGCCACCACCAAACCAUGUCCCUUAGUGCUGCAGAACAUCCCCAGAGGAAACAUGAGCACUGUGCCCAGCGCCAGCUCUGUACUUCACACAGAGGGUGGUGAUGCACUGAACAGGUUGCCCAAGGAGGCUAUGGAUGCCCCAUCCCUGGAGGCAUUCAAGGCCAGGCUGGAUGUGGCUCUGGGCAGCCUGGUCUGCUGGUUGGCGACCCUGCACACAGCAGGGGGUUGAAACUAGAUGAUCACUGUGGUCUUUUUCAACCCAGGCCAUUCUAUGAUCCUAUGAUUGACUAUGGACUAUGGGUGACAUCUACCUGUGAUUGCUGCCAUCUUAACACUAGGGCAGAGCUCAGUACAUUUCUCUACAUGGUGUGUUGCAAUAGGAAAGUUUCUUUCCUUCUCCUCCUCCAAAGUCCUGCAACGGGAAAAGAAAACAUGGGAAACCGUGUCUUCAAAUCAUACACCCAUACUUCAUCUCAUUGUAUAAUCAUCACAAAAAUCUGGUGGUGAGCUGUACUGUAUCUGUGUUUUGUCUGGAGGUUGGAAGUGGUUUUAACGAUUUAAAUCAUGGUAAAGAAAAGGGCCACUCAAAACACAGAGCUGGAAAGCAGAACCGCUUCGGUGUCUGCAGUAUUCUAAACUAGAUUUUGGUCCAGGUCCUGCUCCACUGUGUCCUCGUGUUGGGAAAGUAUAUUCAGAGCUGACAUGGCUUUCCCAGGUGUUUUCUACUGGGACAAAGUGCAGAGAAUGCAGUUAAUCACGAGUGCAUUCAAGUGUCCUAAGGUCUUUGGGUGAAAGCUGUUAGAGACAUUGAAAAAGUGUUUAAUAAUCACAGCCCCAUGUCCUCAGCACAGGCUUUUUGGGUUCACAAAAGUUCAAACACCUUUUAAGAAAUUUAGGCCAAAAUGUAAGCAGGCCAGAGCCAUGCAGCAGUUCCAAUGGCAACGGGGACAGCGCUUUGUUGAACCAUUUUCAGGAUCAUGACUACUGGGUAAGAUGCAUGCUGAGUGGUGCUGCUUUUAUAAACCACAGCAGGCACAAAGGUACUGUGUGCAGUUUCCUAUAGUUGACAUAAAGAUAUAUACAUUUUUCUUUUCAACAGUCUCACUUCUACACAGUUUCAAUUAGAAGUGCAUAUAACAACAAUCCCCAAGAAGAUUCAACAUUGGGUCUUUCAACUGACUGUCAACACAUCCUGUUCUUCCUCAUUUGCAAUACUUGUCCCUAAAAACAAACUGGACAUAAAAGGUACCUGUUUUUUUCAGCAAAAAUGAGACUCAUGGAUGAGAAUUAAGAAAACACAAGUUUUGUAGCAACUAUGAAAGCUGCAACCUCAGCUAAAAGAAAACAUAAAUAUUUCCCUGCUCUCUAUUUUCCUGUCUUUCCAUUGGUUCCUCGGACAAUCCUCGGGGAUAGUAUUGAGGCAUACACACACUUAAUUGCAUGCAAGAGGCUGUUAUUGUGCUAUUGCACUGUAUGGAGUGCUAUGGCCGAGCAAGGGAGAUGUGAAACUCACUACAGAUAAAGGAAUUUCUUGCCAAAAGAAAGGAAAAGAUAGCAUCUAUUUCCUAUAAAGAGAGGCAAUUGGAGAGCUGCCUUAUGUUAAUUUGAUUCUUAGAAAAAGGAUAAAAUCACUACAAAUGAAACAGUCACACCUCCUGUAACGAUUUCCUGUUUUGUUUUGCCUUUUUCCCUAGCUUAAGUCUAUACUUAUGAAAUGCUUUUGGAUUAUGUAAAAACAUUGCAGAGGAUUUUAUUGCCUCUUGUUGUACUGGCUAAGAGUUACCCAAACCAUCCACAGAUGGAAGAAGAAGUGGUUAUCUGCAACUUCUGGAGUAGCUAGAAGGAAGUGGUGUUCUAAACUAUGGUUAUUUAACCAAAGGAGCUCAAAAUGAGUGGGAAAUACUUGUGUUCCACACAGCAUUAUUGUACACUACGUAUCAAAUACAACCAAUAGAGAAAGACAAAUAACCUGGGAAUGGCAAACGCUUCCAGUGAAUUACAAAUAUGUUUUAGAGUGACCUGAAUCGCAUUUCAAAGCGCUCAGAAUAUUAUCCCACUAAUUCAAGUGUUUACCGUGGAUCCAGUCUCACUGCCUCCAUUCAUGUGAGCAGUCCCAUCCAUAGCAAGAAGACUGCAGAGCUUUCACCUGCUGACCUGCCCGCUCCAGCUGAGGGUUACAGAAGAGAAGACUCUCCCUGGACCGUGAGAUUCAACAAACACCUCUCAACAGAAAUACAGGCUUGUGGACUGAUCAGAAAGUGACAAAGUAUUUCUAGUACAUAACGUAAAAGGUAUUAACUUGUAUUGAAACAUGAAUUGAGCUUCCAUUUUAACCACUGAUAGCCAUUAGAAAGAUAACGGGUCAUCUUAUUCAUUACGUCUAGAAAGACCCUCAGAAUGUGCUGCUAAGGACAGGUUGGAGUGAUUGCUUUCUAUCAAUUAGCAGCAUGGGACAUGUUCUAAAUGUAGCCUAGUCUAGACUUUCCUGCUUUGGGUAGAUAACACAGCUGAUAUCACACAAGACUGUUUGAUGAGAGUCUUUACAGAAAGAAUCACUGCUGUGGGAAGUUCAGAUAUGAUUUUCAGCUGCUGAAAUAAGAUCAGACUGAAAAUCUCAGCUCAGCUCUCAGAUCAACACGGGUGAAACAAUGCCUUCCUGAAGGCACAUCUACGUGGGGAGGAACCAGCAACCAUUCAGCAAAACUCAAAUGCAGUUCUUCAGUGGGGGGCUUUCAUUCCCCACUGUGCCUGUGGCACAUGGGCAGUGAGCCAGUAGGGGUCUGGGGAGCAGGGUGAGUGGGAUGAGUGGGACUGCUCCUCCAGCUCAGAGCUUUCCAGCUCUACUCAGGUGGGACCUGGCCAAUGCCCAGCAUCCCUCUGUUGGAUCCAACACACAGAGAUGCCCUUGGCUGUGCUCUGAUGAGUGGCGAGGAGCUGAAGCCAGGCUGAUUCAAGCUGGAAAUGCAGCAUUUUAUUUAUUUGUUUGUUUGUUUUUAGCAGAAGCUGUGAUUUUAAAUAAGGGUCUAAAUCUGCAUCGGGUAUCUUUCUAAAAGAUGACCUCCUGCAACUGUGGGGCAGAUACAGAAACAUUGUGACCUUAAGAAUUUAUUUCUAUCAAAUAUGAACUUCAUUUCCAUCGUUUCCCACUGUCCAGAGAUGUCAGAGAUCAGUUUAAUUGCAUAGACUGUCAAGACUCCCUGGGAAUUAUGUGUAGUUUUUUUCCUAUCUCUCUCAGACAGGAUCCAUCUUCACUUUGAAUAAUUACUGCCAGAGCUGAAUCAGAAACUGCCAAAGCUGCAGGAAAGAAUCCAACAUUUUUCUACACAGAUUCAAAGCAAAUAUGAAUUCCCUUCCCUUUCCUUUUCCUUUCCCUUCCCUUCUACCACAACCCCUUUCACUUCAUUCCCUUUGAAUAACUUACCAUGAAUGAAUUUAGUGAGGGAAUGGUACACAAGAAAUCUUUGGGCAAAUCCUCAGCUGUUUCAAUUGGCUGCAGUAAAGCUACACUCUGUUACACCCUGAAGAUGCACCACAGUGGAUGUGAAAAGCUCUCUUGGAGAUUAUUCACCUCGUAUGAAUGCAACUGUUCCCAUCAGCUAUCUCAGCUUAAAGAUUGUGGUUAUUGAGUCAGGGGACAGAACAAUGGUAUGGGAUUGAGCCCAAGCAAUUAACUCUUCCCUCAACUUUAUUACUGAAUCCUGAACUGGCAUCCCACAGAGAACCUGUAACAAUCUUAUUCAGAUCAAAGCCCCCACUUUUUAAAUAAUGAGAAGUUUGGAAAACAAAAAUCAAAGGGCAGCCUAUGAUUCACACACAGAAAUUUUAUAAAAACCACAAAAUCAAAAGGCCCUUAAUUGAGGCCUUUCAACCCAACCAAGUAUUCAUUCCAAGAUAAUUACCUGCCAUAAAACCCUCUGCCACAGAGACACUGGACUAGAAAACCUUUGAAUUGCACACGGAACUUAAGGAAAGAGCUGGCUGGGAUGUAAUCCUGCUGAGACCUGAAAAGGAGAAGUUCUGGGGGGGAACCAAGCCUUCAGUGCAAGUCAUUCCUCUGUAAAAACAUGUCAUCAUUGAGAAGGCUCUACAACAAGAAAAGACUGGGGAAGAUCUGCCAGGAGCAAACCAGGUACUCUUAUAAAUAAGGAACAAAUAGCACUGUACAUCACAUUGGGUUAAAUGCCAUGAGUAGCAUCAAAUGGUAUCUUGAAGAACAGAUGAGUCAACAGCCAGAAAUGCAACUGAUUAAAACCAAAAUUAAACUGGCUCUAACUGAUGGUGCAUGAAGGGCUACAAUCAAAAAAAGAAAAGAAAAAGGGAAAGUCUUCUGCUGUUGGGAUUCCUCUGUUCCUUCAAGCUACAAUAGGUUCUGAGCUACACAACGUUAAAAUCGUCACUGUCCUUUUGGGCACCUCACCAAAGAUGAGGGCAACUCUUGGAGCAAUGCAGUGCUCAGUCCCUGCCAUAGACCUGCCUCACAAACAGUGGUUUGGUUUUGUGGUUGUUGGCCAAUAUCUGAAAGGAUAGAAUUUCCAGACUGGAAGGGAUCCACCAGCACCGGAGUCCAACUCCUGCUCACUCUCAAGGUACUGAUUAAGAAGCUUUAGACUGACAAAUAAGUACACUUAGGAAGUUCUCCAAAUAAAUGACUGAUUAUAAUUGCUAAGGACUUUCAGAUGAAAUGGCUUUAACAUAACUUUUACUGAAAAUUUGGUAUGACAGAGGGCUAUACUCAACAGGAACUAUUUCUGUCAAUCUAGAUGUAUUUCACCAUGGUUGCAUGGCUGAUCAAAUAUCUCUACAAACAAAUGCAAUUGUUGAAAUUUUGAAAUGAAACAAUUAUGGUCCUCUUAUUUUCUGAUCAAUUCAGAUAUGUGAAGACAAAUACGUAGUUAGCAUACAAAGAGGCAUCCCUCCAAACAUUACAUUUGGUUCCUAUGAAAAUUUUCUUGCUGUAGUAAGGCCAAAAAUACAUACAAUCUAUAAUAUAUAUAUUUGCUUUUGCUUUUUCUUCCCUCCUUUGUGAUAUUACUAUCAGUAUUUUGCAUAUUAUGCUAGGUUAUAUGGGUAGGUCCUGAACUGAUGCGGCCCAGCCCUGUGCCCCAGCUUUGCUGCUGGAUCAAAACAGAGGCUCAGAGAAGUUCAUUCCUUUAGACCUUUUUAUACGAUGAAAGCUAAGAAAAGACUGCAUCAGUGAACCCAGGACAGCUUUAGGAAAGAGCUCCCCUGACAUCACCAGUUUACAUCAUCUUUGUUUAAGCAAGCAAUUUAUUAUUCUCCUGG
ensembl:lncRNA